UCUAGCUUGCAAAUAAUAAUAACUAUAAAUAUAAAUAAAUUUUUUUUUUCUGAUAUUUAAAAGAGAUAAAAAAAAGUGUGUCAAAAAUUAUGAUAAUUAAAAUAAAAAUGUAGAAGACACAAAACAUAAAUGUGGUGUCGUAAGAACCAUUGCAGAACUUAGUUGGCUGUAGAUGCAUUGAUGUUGUUAAUUAUAAGUAGUCAUGAAACACCAGCUUGAUUGACAUGUGUUGAGGAUGAGCUCAGCGAGAGGGUGAAAUGGUGGCAAGUGGCAAGUCAGUUUGGCAACUUCUGCAUGUACUACUAAUUCUAUAUUUUCUAGUUAUCUUCUAAGUCAGACAAACUGAAUUUCGAACUCGAUCUAAUUACAUGUCCUGAUGAGUCAUUCUGCCAAAGCUGUACAAAGUAACUAUUUGAUGCCAGAAAGUUCUAUCCAUUCUACCUAAGGAUGCUCGAAUGAGGCGGUGGGCCAUUAAGAAAACAAUAAAAUAUUAUAUGAAAUUUGAGUAAAACUAAAUAGGUGUAAAGUUAUAAAUUUGUCGUUUUCAAGGUGCUUUACAGCUUGCAUGAUGGUGAUAUCUUGGCAGGAUAUUUUUUCUCAAAUCAGUUUUACGCUCACAUAAAUUUAUCUUGUCUUCAAUUCUGAUUUCCCUUUCUCUCCCUCCCCACCUCUCUAUCGAUCUCUCUCUCUCAAACAACUUCAUCUUCUGUCCAGAUUUCUUUCUUUGUCCCUAUAUUUCAAUGAUCUCGAUGGCACUGUAUUUCUAUUUCUAAACCCAUUUUCGGACCUCCAUUUUUCAUAUUCAGAAGGAGUUAAGAAGCAAGUGCUAUUUUCAUGGUUCUACAAUUUAUCACUAUAGGAUGAAGCACUUCUCCAGCUUCCAUUCUAAUGCAUGGACAAUAUGCAGAAAUUCAAUAGCUGGCACACAUACAAAAGGGGAAAAAUAAGAGCAAAUGUGACCGUAAUUUUUUCAAAUUGUAAUUUAUUAUAAUUUUUUGCCAUUAUAAUGUAUAAGAAAACACAAUGGUAUCCCUGCUUAGAGGAAGCGUAUAUAAUUUGCCACUGUUUUUCUCCAAAAUUUUCAAUUAUUAUGUAAUAGAAUUUAAACAGACACAAAUGGCCACUAAUGGAUAUAUUAGAUUUGGCACUGUA